rnacentral:rRNA from 1 species
CCUACGGGCUGCACCAGUGGGGAAUUUUGCGCAAUGGGCUAACGCCUGACGCAGCAACGCCGCGUGGAGGAUGAAGGUCUUUGGAUUGUAAACUCCUGUCAGCAGGGAAAAAGCGACCUGACCUCAUACGUCAGGGAGUUGAUUGUACCUGCAGAGGAAGCCCCGGCUAACUCUGUGCCAGCAGCCGCGGUAAUACAGAGGGGGCAAGCGUUAUUCGGAAUUAUUGGGCGUAAAGGGCGCGUAGGCGGCCAGUCAAGUGGAAGGUGAAAUCCCUCGGCUUAACCGAGGAACUGCCUUCCAGACUGUUUGGCUUGAGACCAGGAGAGGUGAGUGGAAUUCCCAGUGUAGCGGUGAAAUGCGUAGAUAUUGGGAGGAACACCAGUGGCGAAGGCGGCUCACUGGACUGGUACUGACGCUGAGGCGCGAAAGCGUGGGGAGCAAACGGGAUUAGAUACCCUUGUAGUC